AGGAGGAAUAACCACAGUGGCAGCGGGAGCUCUGGAGCCCUGGAUUCAGCUCCCACAGUAACUGCAGAGCUCUCCGUCUGCAGGGCCUGGAGGCUCCGGGGCGGG
rnacentral:pre_miRNA from 1 species